GGCUUUGAUGCGACCGAGGUGGGGGGACGGCAUAUUUACAAAGCUGCCGGCAGCCACCAACUUCCGCCUGGGGAUGGAACCUCUCGCUAAGUUUAGCCUCCAAAGAUCAUUCCUGGGAGGGGCCUCCCAGCCCUGAGGUGGAGGAGCCAGUGGAAGAAGACAGAGGGUGGGUCUCCAAAUUCUGCAGUGCAUUUCCCACUGAUACUGGAUGGAUCUCAGCCUAGACAGCCCACCUUCCCAGUGCUCCACGUGCCUGGCCACUCCUCUCUCAGGCAUCUACCUUCCUGUGUAGUUUCAACCUGUCGGAGUCUAAAAGUUCUUCCGCGAUUCACCUCCAGAAGCCUCCUGACAGUUCUGCCUGUAUCCACUCUCGCCCCCUCCAGGCUAUUGCGAGAACAGCAGUCAAUGAGCCUCCACCCUGCUCGCCAUGACGAGGCCCCGUCUGGCAUGCCCACCCCCAGGAGUGAACAAGUUUCCAGUUUCUCCACAUCUUCAAUGGUACCUGCUAUCUUCUGUCUGGGAUUUCGUGUUGGAUGGGCCGUAGCCAUCGUAACCCUGUGGGAUGAUAGCUCGCUGUGAUUUUGAUUUGCAUUUCCCCGAUGAUUCAUCGCAUCUUUUCUUUGUGCCCGUGGGCCUUUUUAUCUUUACUGAGUGCUCGCUAAUAUUUUACUAAAACUUGCAUGAGUUUACAAAUAAAAUUGGUGCAUUGUUGUG